rnacentral:rRNA from 1 species
UACGAGGGGGGCGAGCGUUGUUCGGAAUUAUUGGGCGUAAAGGGUGCGUAGGCGGUUUGGUAAGUCUUGUGUGAAAUCUACAGGCUCAACUUGUAGUCUGCACGAGAAACUGCCGGGCUUGAGUAUGGGAGAGGUGAGUGGAAUUCCUGGUGUAGCGGUGAAAUGCGUAGAUAUCAGGAGGAACACCUGUGGCGAAAGCGGCUCACUGGACCAUAACUGACGCUGAUGCACGAAAGCUAGGGGAGCGAACGGG